AGAGUUUGAUCAUGGCUCAGAAUCAACGCUGGCGGCGUGCCUAAUACAUGCAAGUCGUACGCGAAGACCCCGCAAGGGGUUGUUAGCGUGGCAAACGGGUGAGUAACGCGUGGGCGACCUGCCCUCGAGUGGGGGAUAACCUUCCGAAAGGAGGGCUAAUACCGCAUGACAUACCGUGUUUGGAUACACGGAUAUCAAAGCCGGGGAUCGCAAGACCUGGCGCUUGGGGAGGGGCCUACGUUCGAUUAGCUAGUUGGUGGGGUAACGGCUCACCAAGGCGACGAUCGAUAUCCGGCCUGAGAGGGCGGACGGACACACUGGGACUGAGACACGGCCCAGACUCCUACGGGAGGCAGCAGUAGGGAAUUGUUCGCAAUGGGCGCAAGCCUGACGACGCAACGCCGCGUGGAGGAUGAAGACCUUCGGGUCGUAAACUCCUUUCGACCGAGAUGAACAGCCACGGACCUAAUACGUCUGUGGCCUGACAGUUACGAGGGAAGAAGCCCCGGCUAACUCGUGCCAGCAGCCGCGGUAAUAC
rnacentral:rRNA from 1 species